CGGAAUAUUGGGCGUAAGAGCUCGUAGGCGGUUUGUCGCGUCUGCUGUGAAAGACCGGGGCUCAACUCCGGUUCUGCAGUGGGUACGGGCAGACUAGAGUGAUGUAGGGGAGACUGGAAUUCCUGGUGUAGCGGUGAAAUGCGCAGAUAUCAGGAGGAACACCGAUGGCGAAGGCAGGUCUCUGGGCAUUAACUGACGCUGAGGAGCGAAAGCAUGGGGAGCGAACAGGAUUAGAUACCCUGGUAGUCCAUGCCGUAAACGUUGGGCACUAGGUGUGGGGGACAUUCCACGUUUUCCGCGCCGUAGCUAACGCAUUAAGUGCCCCGC
rnacentral:rRNA from 1 species